rnacentral:rRNA from 1 species
UACAGAGGAGCCAAGCGUUGUCCGGAUUGACUGGGCGUAAGGCGCACGCAGGCGGAUGCGCGCGUGGGGUGUGAAAUCUGGCCGCUUAACGGCCAGGCGCCAUCCCAUACGGCGCGUCUGGAGUGAUGCAGAGGUCGAUGGAAUUGCCGGUGUAGUGGUGAAAUGCGUAGAGAUCGGCAGGAACACCCAGGGGGAAACCAGUCGACUGGGCAUCUACUGACGCUGAGGUGCGAGAGCGUGGGGAGCGAACCGG